rnacentral:misc_RNA from 1 species
GAUGAAGAACGUAGCGAAAUGCGAUAAGUAAUGUGAAUUGCAGAAUUCAGUGAAUCAUCGAAUCUUUGAACGCACAUUGCGCCCGCCAGUAUUCUGGCGGGCAUGCCUGUUCGAGCGUCAUUACAACCCUCAGGCCCCCGGGCCUGGCGUUGGGGAUCGGCGGAAGCCCCCUGCGGGCACAACGCCGUCCCCCAAAUACAGUGGCGGUCCCGCCGCAGCUUCCAUUGCGUAGUAGCUAACACCUCGCAACUGGAGAGCGGUGCGGCCACGCCGUAAAACACCCAACUUCUGAAUGUUGACCUCGAAUCAGGUAGGAAUACCCGCUGAACUUAAGCAUAUCCAAUAAGCGGAGGA